GUAUUGAUUGCGUGUGACCGCAAAAGAAACAUUCUACACUGUAUCGAGUUUUAUGUGAAAACGCAAGCCCUCCCGCAAAGGGGACCCACGCGGUGAUGCACAAAGGUGAGAUGGAUUGUGUGAGAGCGCUCGGGCGUGCACGACCUUUGAGGGCCAGCGACAGCCUUUGCACCUCGGUUGUACGAUAAUGAUCCUUCCGCAGGUUCACCUACGGAAA
rnacentral:misc_RNA from 1 species